ACUCCAUAAACCAACCAGCUACCGCAUGUCCAGCUUCAUGAUGAGCAACGGUGUUUUUUUCUUCAGGACUUAGUACCCUACUCUUCUUUUCCAAACCUGCCGUGACUCUUUCAAUAGCUUGCUCAAAAUGUACCAUUUGGACUUCAUUACUAUUUGAUCGUGCUGCAAUUAACGCUCCUUCAUUACAUACAUUCAUUAUAUCAGCUCCUGUAAAACCAGAAGUUAGGACGGCAAGACGCUUGGCAAUU